rnacentral:rRNA from 1 species
GAUGAACGCUGGCGGCGUGCCUAAUACAUGCAAGUCGAGCGAACAGAUGAGGAGUUUGCUCCUCGGAUGUUUGCGGCGCGCGUGUGUGUAGCAUGGGUAUAACCUCCCUAUAAGACUGGUAUAACUUCGGGAAGCCGGAUCUAAUACCGUAUAAUAUAUUGAACCGCAUGGUUCAAUAGUGAAAGACGGUUGUGCUGUUACUUGUAGAUGGAGCCGCGCCGCAUUUGCUAGUUGGUGAGGUAACGGCCUACAAAGGCAACGAUGAGUAGCCGACCUGAAGGGUUGAUCGGCCACACUGGAACUGAGCCACGGUCCAGCCCCCUACGGGAGGAACCAGUAGGGAAUCUUGCGCAAUGGCCGAAAGCCGGCCGGAGAAACGCCGCGUGAGUGAUGAAGGUCUUCGGAUCGUAAACCUCUGUUAUUAGGGAAGAACAAAUGUGUAAGUAACUAUGCACGUCUUGACGGUACCUAAUCAGAAAGCCACGGCUAACUACGUG